rnacentral:lncRNA from 1 species
UCUUUUCCAUUUUCUCCUUCUUCCCUAUUUAUCUUCUGUCAAAGACACCCUUAUUCUUAAAAUUGUUACCUUUUUAUAAAUUAUUGAAUGUUGAUGAAUUCAAUGUGUGUUUUCUCUUUUAAAUUUAUAGGUUGUAUAUUUAAAAUUUAAGCACCCUGCCUAUAUAUGGUUUGAUACUUAGGUUCCCUGCUGAUUAUAAAAAAAAUCAUUAUUUUUAAAAUUUGUCAGGUGCGUUACAAAACAGUCUGCAUGGAAGUGUAUGGGAGAAUACUAGGUGAUCAGAAUGUGGUAUCUUCAACUCAGGGAACCAGAGCAAAG